rnacentral:rRNA from 1 species
UACGUAGGGGGCUAGCGUUGUCCGGAAUCAUUGGGCGUAAAGCGCGUGUAGGCGGCUCGGCAAGUCGGAUGUGAAAGCCCUGGGCUCAACCUAGGAAGUGCAUUCGAAACUGCAGAGCUUGAGUUCUGGAGAGGAAGGCGGAAUUCUCGGUGUAGAGGUGAAAUUCGUAGAUAUCGAGAGGAACACCUGUGGCGAAGGCGGCCUUCUGGACAGUGACUGACGAUGAGACGCGAAAGCGUGGGGAGCAAACAGG